GGAGCUUGACUGCGAGACAGACAGGUCGAGCAGGGACGAAAGUCGGGCUUAGUGAUCCGGUGGUACCGUAUGGAAGGGCCAUCGCUCAACGGAUAAAAGCUACCCUGGGGAUAACAGGCUUAUCUCCCCCAAGAGUCCACAUCGACGGGGAGGUUUGGCACCUCGAUGUCGGCUCAUCGCAUCCUGGGGCUGUAGUCGGUCCCAAGGGUUGGGCUGUUCGCCCAUUAAAGCGGUACGCGAGCUGGGUUCAGAACGUCGUGAGACAGUUCGGUCCCUAUCCGUCGCGGGCGUAGGAAAUUUGAGAGGACCUGUCCUUAGUACGAGAGGACCGGGAUGGACAUACCUCUGGUGUACCAGUUGUGCCGCCAGGCGCAUCGCUGGGUAGCUACGUAUGGAUGUGAUAAACGCUGAAAGCAUCUAAGUGUGAAACACACCUCGAGAUGAGAUUUCCCAUUCCUUUAUGGAAGUAAGACCCCUGAAAGAUGAUCAGGUAGAUAGGUUAGAAGUGGCAGUGCGGUGACGCAUGAAGCGGACUAAUACUAAUCGGUCGAGGACUUAACCAAG
rnacentral:rRNA from 2 species